GACCUCAAAUCAGGUAAGGACACCCGCUGAACUUAAGCAUAUCAAUAAGCGGAGGAAAAGAAAAUAACAAUGAUUCCCCUAGUAACUGCGAGUGAAGAGGGACAAGCUCAAAUUUUAAAUCCAUCGGGUUUUACCUGAUCGAGUUGUAAUUUGAAGAAGCGUUUUCUGCGUAUUUGAUCAGCCUAAGUCCUAUUGAAUGAGGCAUCACGGAGGGUGAUAAUCCCGUCCGGUUGAUCAUUUGCGUUUUACGAUACGCUUUCUAAGAGUCAAGUUGUUUGGGAUUGCAGCUUAAAAUGGGAGGUAAAUUUCUCCUAAGGCUAAAUAACGGCGAGAGACCGAUAGCGAACAAGUACCGUGAGGGAAAGAUGAAAAGAACUUUGAAAAGAGAGUUAAACAGUACGUGAAAUUGUUGAAAGGGAAACGAUUGAAGCCAGUCGUACCUUCGGGUAAUCAGCCUUUCGGGUGCGAUUCUGUGGAGUUUGAGGAGCUUUAACACCUUCAUGCUUUGCAUAUUCGUGCUCUUGGGUGUACUUGCCCGUGUGGUUGGUUAACAUCAAUUUCGGGCACCAUAAAAUGGCUGGAGGAAUGUAGCUUCGAUCUUGUAUUGAAGUGUUAUAGCCUUCGGUAGAUGUGAUGAUCGAGAUUGAGGAUUGCAACGGAUACCCUUCGGGGCUACCUGUCUGGUCUCUGAUCGUUGCUCUGGUGCCGAAAGCUUGCUUACGGUUAUCAAAGUCGAUGGUCAAUAGGUUAGAACGGGUUAAAUUCGUUAAGGAUGUUGACGUAAUGGCUUUAAACGACCCGUCUUGAAACACGGACCAAGGAGUCUAACAUAUAUGCGAGUGUUAGGGUGAUUAAACCCUUACGCGUAAUGAAAGUAAUUUUGGUGGGAACACUUUUGUGCACCAUCGACCGAUCAGGAUAUUUUUUGAUAGAUUUGAGUAAGAGCAUAUCUGCUAGGACCCGAAAGAUGGUGAACUAUGCCUGAAUAGGGUGAAGCCAGAGGAAACUCUGGU
rnacentral:rRNA from 1 species